AAAAUAGCUGAGGCCGGUUUUAGCGCUAGAUUGUGAUUUUAGAGACGCGGGUUCAAAUCCCGCUUUU
rnacentral:tRNA from 1 species